rnacentral:rRNA from 1 species
UACGUAGGCAGCGAGCGUUGCUCGGAGUUACUGGGCGUAAAGGGUGUGUAGGCGGUUGUUUAAGUUUGGUGUGAAAUCUCCCGGCUCAACUGGGAGGGUGCGCCGAAUACUGAAUGACUAGAGUGCGGGAGAGGAAAGUGGAAUUCCUGGUGUAGCGGUGAAAUGCGUAGAUAUCAGGAGGAACACCGGUGGUGUAGACGGCUUUCUGGACCGUAACUGACGCUGAGACACGAAAGCGUGGGGAUCAAACAGG